rnacentral:rRNA from 1 species
UACGUAGGGUGCGAGCGUUAAUCGGAAUUACUGGGCGUAAAGCGUGCGCAGGCGGUUUUGUAAGACAGGCGUGAAAUCCCCGGGCUCAACCUGGGAAUUGCAGUCGAGACUGUCAGACUAGAGUGUGGGAGAGGGUGGUGGAAUUCCCGGUGUAGCGGUGAAAUGCGUAGAUAUCGGGAGGAACAUCAGUGGCGAAGGCGACCGCCUGGCCCAACACUGACCGCUGAGGUGCGGAAAGCGAUGGGUACGCUAAACGGAAGGC